rnacentral:rRNA from 1 species
AUUGAACGCUGGCGGCAGGCCUAACACAUGCAAGUCGAGCGGAUGAAGGGAGCUUGCUCCUGGAUUCAGCGGCGGACGGGUGAGUAAUGCCUAGGAAUCUGCCUGGUCGUGGGGGAUAACGUCCGGAAACGGGCGCUAAUACCGCAUACGUCCUGAGGGCGAAAGUGGGGGGUCUUCGGACCUCACGCUAUCAGAUGAGCCUAGGUCGGAUUAGCUAGUUGGUGGGGUAAAGGCCUACCAAGGCGACGAUCCGUAACUGGUCUGAGAGGAUGAUCAGUCACACGGGAACUGAGACACGGGCCAGACCCCGACGGGAGGCAGCAGUGGGGAAUAUUGGACAAGGGGCGAAAGCCUGAUCCAGCCAUUCGGCGUGUGUGAAGAAGGUCUACGGAGUGUAAAGCACUUUAAGUUGGGAGUAAGGACAGUAAGUUAAUACCUGGCUGUUUGGACGUUACCAAAAGAAUAAGCACCGCCUAAUUCGGG